rnacentral:misc_RNA from 1 species
GACCACAGCAAAAAGUCUAGAAGGACCGGAAGGUAUGCGAGUCCCGCAUGUCGCGACGAACGCCCCGUCCAAGCCGGAGCGAAACACCCAUCCCCUCGUCUUCUGCUGACCGUGUUCUUGAUGACACGUUCGCAAAAGUUCUCGAAGAUGUUGCGCGCUGCGGCGAUACCGAGCGUUCUUACAAACUACCAAUCCGUCUCAUUAAACAUGCUGCGUUGCGACACGCAGAAGCUUGCUCGUCUAAAAGAGCCUGCGUGAGAAGCUGCUAUGUUGCCAGC